AUUAACUUAGUCAAAAUUAAUACAGUUUAAAAUUCUUUGAAUUAUCAGGAUUUCCUCGAGUCAUGUUUCUAAUACGGAUGUUAUUAUCUAUAUGUACUAUUACAAUACUAGGUAUGUUUUAAUAUAUAAUUUACCAUAUUCUUGGAGUAAAUAACUCAUUAAUUUCACAGUAUGAUUAUAGCAAUGAAUUGACGUGAAUUCCAUAUUCUCCAAAAUAGUGGUUAGUGGGCUGAUAAACAUAGAUAUUUAAGGAUGACGUAAUAUUUUUCUGUCUAUGAACGAAAUAAAAUAACAAAAUGUGGUGCACACUGAAUUAACACUGCGGUAGCAGGUUAUUUAACAGUGUGCACCACAUUUUUUAUGUUAGUUCCGAAUAGACAGAAAAAAUUACAGUCUUUUCUUAUAAUUUAAUUCAAAUUCCUUUUAAACCAUUAGACAAACCAUGAAAAAACGUUGAUGACGUCACGGUCAACAAUGACUUAAAUUAAAUGUCGCAUGGGGUGAUAGAACAAAAUAACGUCAGCCAAUCAAAAGACGCGUUACAUCCAAAAUUAAAUUAUAACAUGGCAUUUUUCAUAUCAGACACCCUUGUCAGCCCUAGGUAAUUAUAUCAAACCGAGAGCCGAAAUGCUCGAAGGAUGAUUUUGACCAUGGGCUAAAUUUUACAGAAAGGCAUGUAAUAAUAACCGAAAGCAGUUCAUAACAAAAGUCAUAUCACAAGGUUAAGGCAAUUCUUCAAAUUUAAUGAAUAUAUACGUACAAAAUUGAAAACAACACGCUUAAUAAUUUCCGAAGCGCUUUUCUGGAUUUACCUUCAUCAGUAACGAUCAAAGCCAAACAUUUGAAAUUGGAAGAUUUAUAAAUUAGUUUUAUCAUGGGGUACAAUUAUACUAUUAUUUUCUAUCAGUAUAUGAUAAAAAAAAUAAAACAAUUAUCACAUGCCUCAAACUGUUAUCACAUGCCUUUCCGUAACGUUAUCGCAUGGCUUUCAGCUGUUUGGUCUUAUUAUUGGAAUCAACGUUCCGUCAACUGCUCCAACAACAUUUGGCAUACCAGACAUAGUAUGAAAAUCCUGCUUGAUUUCUCUCAAAGAAGGCUGGUCAAGUGCGAAUUUUAUUUCGUACAUAAAUGUGGAAAUCAAAGAAAUUGUAACUGCUGAUAUUAUUCUUCUAACAGAAGAACGGCUUAUUCCAUGGAUUUCUCCUAUCUCGGACAGGGAACCCCCUUUGCAUAGUACCUUAAAGUUGUCAAAACUUGAUGCAAAGGGGGUAUGGCGAAGUUUCUAAGUGUUGGCCUCUCUAAAUGAGGGGCUAGCACAUCUACCAAGUCAAAAAUACUACGUCUAUCUAAACGGUAUUUGGAAAUAAGUUCAAUAUCAUUUAAAUUGUCCAUAAUAUUGGUCCUAUCUCUGAAGACUCAUUUCUUCCGCAGUUCCCUGCGUUCGUUGUAUCUGAGUACAAGUAAUGCGACGGCCAUCUUUGCGGACGCUGCGAUUAAUCUGCGUUAGGUUCAAGUACACGCUAAUAACGUUCGCGAUUUGCACGCAAUGUACGACCAUCGCAAAGUACCUUUGUUUUAUGAAACGGAAUUUUAUCGUUACGUUUGGUUAACGUUCAAACGUACGCUAACGAUCGUUUUAUGACAAUAAUAGCAAUGGUACGUGUGUAGACGUGAAAAACACAACAAAAUAUGGUUAUAAACACCUAUUAGGAAAGUUAAGUGAAUAAACAAUUGUUUUUAAUACGUAUACUAAAUGGAUUUUUCAAAGUUUCAAGCAAAAAUUGAAAAGUUACUUCACAAAUGUUGAAUGUGUCCAUAAUGUUUUGUUGAUUUAUUUAACGUUAGUAUAUGUCUAACAUAUAUAUUGUUGUUUUUCGACUGUGUUGACGCAUAUGAUAGACAUAUUUCAUAUUGUAUGAAUUACAUUUGUCGUCCGAUGUUCGUAAACUUUGCAACUUUUGAACUUCUACCGUUACGUUUACUCCAUAACCACAUCAAAGGAUAUUGAACUGUUAUUUAUUAUCAAUUGUUGAAGCAUAUGAUAUCAAAAAAAAUUACCAAACGGAGAGCCAAACUCGUAAAUCGAAAAUAAACUGAGAACACCACGGCUAAAAAUGAAAAAGAUAAACAGACAAACAAUAGUACACUUGACACAAUAUUAAAGAAUAAGCAACACGAACCCCACCAAAAACUAGAGGUUAUCUUAGAUGCACCGGAAGGAUAAGCAGAUCCUGCUUCACAUGUGGCACCCGUCGUGUUGCUCAUGUUUUAACAAAUCCGGUAAAUUGUCUAAUUUGGUAGGUCACAUUCAUGAAAGAGAAGCGGACUGUAGUUACGACGUAAGGAAUAUAUCCGUUAUCAUCUGUGAAACGGUUGUUCCAUAACGGUCAACCAUCUCGAGAUUGCGGCCGUAAAAUUAUAGAUCACAUGCCAUUUUUCGGCACUUGGGCCUAUAUUAAACCUUUGGCUGUUAAUACAGCUGAAAUGAAAAAUGCAAUGUAAUAAUGGGAUACUAUCAAAUAUAAGGGGAUAUGAAAAGGUUUAUUUUAACCUUCUUUAAAAAAAACCAAAAUGAAUCCAUACAUAUAUCAAAUAACACCUUUUAUUUACAAGUGAUGUGCACGUGAUUUCAAGUGAUUAUAUCGAUGACUGAUUUUUUAAGCCUAAUUGCUGGGUUGAUGUUUUUUCGCAUUUAAUUUCGAUAUUCAAUUUUUUAAGUGAAAUAAAAAUAUCAUCGGUUUUUAUUACUAACUUUUUAUAUAUACCAUUUUUUAAAACUAUACUUGAAUUUGAGGUAUAAAAUGACAGAAAGUCCAUCGACAAUAUAACCGCUGAAUCUUGUUUUAAAAUUAAAUAUUUUUAUCAGAUUUAAUAAUUUUGUGGACUUUAUAGGACUUUCAAGAAAAAAACUCACCUCAAAACGCCCGAAUCUGUUUUAAAAUAGCAGUUAGAAACGAAAACGUGUCCUAGUACGGGAGUAAACCUUAUAAGUAAUGAUUCACUGUAGUUCAAGCAACGAUGUGGAAAGAAAACCAGUGUUACUCUAAUUUGAAAACAUUUUUAGCUUUAAAAUCAAUACUAUUUACGAUUAUUUUGGAGAAAAAAAGUAUCAUUGAUAGUUUUCAUAUUUAUACAAACAUGCUAUUUUUGGCUUUGUUUGGACUUUUUUGUUUGCUUUUUGACCUUGUAUGUUUGUCCCUAAUAUUUUAUUAACUGUGCAUUGGCAUUCAGGUAUCACAGAUCAAAUUUAUUCGUUCAUAGGGUGUUAAUUUACGUUUUUUGAUUAGGUUAAGCCUUCCAAUUGAUAUUUUAUUGUGUGGUUUUCUAUGUCGUGAUGUUCUGCUAUUGUUUCAGAAAAAGGAAGAAGGUUUGGUACCAUUAAAACGUUUCCAAAUGUGUGCACCUGUCCUAAGUCAGAAAUAUGAUGUUCAGUGUGAGCCAAGGCUCCGUGUUGAAGGCCGUACAUUGAUCAUGACCUAUAAUGAUUUACUUUUAUGAAUUUGUUAUUUGGAUGGAGAGUUGUCUUAUUGGCACUCACACCACAUCUUCCUAUAUCUAUUAUCAUCAUAUCAACAUAUUCAAAGGGUAUAAAAACCGUUUAGCAUCGAGUUUUAUUUUAGCUUCCUUAUCAUAAAGUAAUUUUAAAAUUCUUGAAAAAAGAAAUGAAAAUAAUAUUUGUGGUUGCGAAAACGCGAUUUUAGGACAAGCAUAUGUUCGGAAUGGUGUCGCCUUUUACUGUGUUUUAAAGGGUAUUCAAACUUCAAUUAUAACAUAUUGUAAACUCAUUGGAAUGAAUAUAUCCAAACAAUACAUUUGACAAAACCUGUUUUUUUUAUACUUGCCAUAUUAAAAAUGUGAUGUGAAUGGUAUUGUGGUUUUUUUUUUUUUUUGCACAUCAUUUCAGACAUAAAGUAGCUUUGCAUAAGUUUCUAUUCAGACUUAGUUGAUCCUGAGAGGGAUGAAUUUUCAAAUAGUGCUUACAUAUCUUUUGUGACGACCUGGCCUCAUGAUUAUCAAACUUCCAAGUACAAUUAUCGUAUGCAGACUUAAAAAUCAACAAAUAAGUACAAUGGAUUUUUAACUUCGAGUAAAAUGAUUAUCUACUCCAGUAAGCUAUUACAAGAUAGUAACGAUGGACAUUCUCAAUAAAGUUUUAAACAAUUCUUUCUUGCAGAUUGUUCUCAAGAUUGGGAAUUUUUUCAACAAUUGCCUGAUUCUAUCCUGUGGAAGGCUUCCUCAAUCACAGACGUUCUAUAUACACAAGCAAGUAAUAACUUGGCAAAAUGUGCCUUACUCUGCAAGAUUAACCUGUACUGUAAGGCAUUCUACUUUUAUCAAGAAACAUGUUACGGAUUAUCAUCAAUAACAGCAGAUUCUUCGACAAAUGCUUUGGUUAAGGUGUUUGUGAAACAACCAGUAAACGGUAAGCUUGGUUUUUAAACUGAACUGCAUAUAUAAUACUUGUCUUUACAUAUUUCUACAAAAUUUCACAUCGGUUGUCACUCAUUUCAAAACAACUCUCAAUUAUCUUCAAAAACAUAUUGCGUCUCUCCCUUUUCUCAGUCUUUCAUUACACGAGUCUGUCUCUUUUUAUUUGCGUUUGAAUAUACGCGUCCAUCCUUUCUGUAGUAUUUAUUUGCGAUUUAGAAACUUGAUUCUAAUUCGUGCUCUUUUGAAUUCGUGAUUUACAUGUAGCAGAAUCUAGGUCAAAUUUAGGUAAAUAAUUUUGAAAUAGUACAAUUGCAUACAUACCGUAAAGCAAGUGCUGACAGUAGAUCAAAAAUCUUUUUGUCAAAAAAAGAAAGUAACACCACUGUUUAAAAAGGUUGGUUGGCACCUUUAAACUAUUUUAACCACGCUACAUUGUAUAUGUACCUGUCUUUAGUUAUAUAAUAAAGGUGUUGUCGUAUGUUACUGUAGAUCAUAUUUUGAUUUUUUUUUCAUUAAUUUGAAAAUAAAUCAGGGGUUUACUUUUCACGCUUGUCAUUUCGGUGCCUUUUACGGACCAUGUGAUAUUGGUUUUACUUAUUGUCGAUGGACCUACGGCGAUCUAUAGUUAUUAAUUAGUUUAGUUUAAACAUAUUUAUUUAUAGUGGAUUGGAAAACAAGUUAUUGCAACUUAUAUUAUUCUCUUUCCGCUUUAAGGGUGCGAUUGCUGCCCUGAAGUGGCAUUACUUGUUCUUUGAAGUGUCAUUUGGUUUCUUGAAGAGUGUUGUCUCAUUGGAAAUCAAAUCACAUCUUUUUUAUUGUUUUUAAAAGUUUUCGUCGCAGCGGCUUCAAUUAUGUACAUGUUUAAUUCCAGUAUUUAACUUAUAUUAAUAAGAGUAUAAUUAAACUCAUGCAUGUGUGUUUCUUUAAAAAAGAUACCACACAAUUACCAUAAAAAAUAGUUAUAUCAAGGGCAAAUAGAAGCGGUGAGUGUUGUGGAUUACUAAUCUUUUGAUCCCAUUACUCAGCAUAGCAGAUAAAAUGGGGUAAUCAAUUUUCUAGUGAUUAAAAGAGUCACCUGCAUAACUCUCAGGAAGGUUGUUUAUAUAACAAUAUCAAAAUUAUUGCUUCCUUCACAAACAUUGCAUUUUGAUUCGAUUGUAACGAGUUUAAUGUUUUGAUCUCUUAGUUUAAACAUAUCUUUUUAUAGGUGAUUGGGAAACCAGAUAUUACAACUUAUAUCAAUCAUUUUUCAAUUUACGGGUGUAUUCCUUUAUUAUUUUUUUUUAUCUAAUGCUCUUCCUUGUAUUAAGAAAUAAGCGUGGGAUAUAUAGAUCUUUCGUCUGAAAUCCGUUGUUAUGUUGUGGCCUUCAUGUACACAGUUGGUCAAGGAUUGUCUUUAUACUUUGAAUUAAUUUCUUUGAAAUGUUCUACGAAGCUUUCUGUUUUCUUAUACACUCUUUCCGCACAGAAAACGGAAUGAAAAUAUAAAUGUCAUUAUUUACAAUAUCUGCAUUUGUCCGCUUCUUUGCGUUUGAAUAUCUUAUUCUUAUCAUUUUACCAAAUUUGAAAAUGUGAGUUUUUCCUUAUAAGGUAAGACUGUAAUUAUAUUUUUUCUGUCUAUAAAACGCGUAGCCGGUUAUUUUAAAGUGUACACAACAUUUUUAAUGUAAUUUCGAAUAGACAGGUAAAAUAUUAUAGUUAUUUUUUUAUAAUUUAAUUCUAAAUUUCAUUUCAAACCGGAGAUAACCAUGAAAAAUCGAUGAUGACGUCACGGUCACAUGACUAAGUUAUGUCUAUGCGCUGAUAAACUAAACAACUUCAGUCAAUAUGAAGACUCGUUACAUCCAAAAAUAAAUUAUUUUAAUAUGUUUGAAUAAGUUUAGGCAUUAUACUUAUUCAUUCCAUUCAUAGCAAAGAUUUAGAUCCAUAUUGUGAAAGACGUUUCAAACCAAAUGUAACUCCUUGAUGAAGACAAUGCAGAUGAAUACCCGGCCACGUCCACGAGUUGUUCUUUAAGGAAUUUUGGUCCUCAAUGCUCUUCAACUUCGUACUUUAUUUGGCGUCUUUAACUUUUUUUGGAUUCGAGCGUAACUGAUGAGUCUUUUGUAGACAAAACGCGCGUCUUGCGUAUAUACAAAAUUUAGUCCUGGUAUCUAUGAUGAGUUUAUUUAUUAAAUACAUUUUUUGUUUAAUUCGAAAAUGAUUAUCGUGGUAAUUAAUUUGUCAAAUCAAUUUCAAGUAUUUUGAUUGGUAUUGUUAACCUUAAAAACAUAAUAUAAGUUAGCACAAAGACAAAAUAUCUAUGAUUUCAAGUAAACAAAAUCAUCUUACAUGUAUUUGUAUCGGUUGUAAGCUGAUUAAUUUUAUGAAUUACAUUUUUUAUUUUUUUUUUUUAUUUGAUAUUGCAUAGCCUUACAUUUAAAUGUGCUACCUCAAUCGUUUAAGGCUUUGUCAUACUUUAUAUGAAAAGCCGACUCAAAAAUUGUGAAAUACAAAUCAAAAGGAAUGAAUCUAAUGCAUCUAAUGCAAACUGGGUCAUCUAAUCCCAACAACCCCCCCCCCAUUAUCUUCUGAUACAUCAAAGAAAAUUAAACAAUCAACGGUUUCAGACAGUCAAUUGGACAAAAUCUUGAAGAUUUCCAUCGUAUCAAUAUGAAAUUAUUUUUAACAUCAUCGUUACGAUAUUCCCGGGCUUUUAUGUCCUAUCAUGAUUUUCUUGAUGAGAGUUGCUGCUCACAAGGAAGCUAAUAAACCAAGAGAUCCAAAUGGUGAAAUUGAAAUCAUCUCUUUGUAAAUUAUAUGGAUGGUUGACUUUUAUGAAAUAUUCGUUUGACAGAAGAUAGCGGAUGUGUUCCUUAUGUUGUACCAAUACUAUUGUCCCAUUAGCAUGAUUAGACUUAAAACCGGGUACUGUGGAUUCAUUUAUUUUGAUGGAAACCAAUUUUCGUGGAUUGAAGAAAACUUGCAUUUUCGUGGAUAUUUGAUUUCGUAGUUUUCCGAAAGUCUGUAUAUAAUAUUACAGCAAAUUUAUAAUCCAUUGAACAUUUAAAUUCGUGGUUUUCUUGUGCCCACGAAAUCAACGAAAAUUGAUGUCCAACGAAUAAUAAUGAAUCCACAGUAUGUACUCUCAUGAUCAACACAACAUAUGAAGCAUUAUCUGACUACGCUUCCGGAAAACCUGAACUCAUCCCCAGUUUGUGGUGGGCUUCGUGUUAGUCUUCGGGUUUUUUUGUGAUUUGUUUUAUGUACUUUUAUUUGUUUUGUUUUUUCCUUUUGACUCAAGGCAUUUGCAGUUGUUUUUUAUCGACUUAUAGGUUUGAAUGUUCCUCGAUUUCCUUCGCCUGUAUCUUUUCUAUCAAGUCUCUAUGUGCAAUAUCAUCUGGCGACCAAUAAUAUAGAGAAAAAAUAUAUGGCACAGAAGACCACAUGGGUCAAAUAUUAACAAAUGUUUGAAUAUUUAUUAAUCUGAAAUAUUGAAUUUUGAAAUGUUUAAUUUCCAGAGUGUCAUGGCGAUGGUUUUGUAUACUAUAAUGGUCUGUGUCUGAUGAUGAGCACAAUACUGCUGACUUGGUAUGAUGCGAAAGACUACUGCGAGAGGAGAAAUAGUAACCUUCUUGUCUUGGAUACAGAGAAGAAAC
rnacentral:lncRNA from 1 species